UACGGAGGGUGCAAGCGUUAUCCGGAUUCACUGGGUUUAAAGGGUGCGUAGGUGGGCAGGUAAGUCAGUGGUGAAAUCUCCGGGCUUAACUCGGAAACUGCCAUUGAUACUAUCUUUCUUGAAUACCGUGGAGGUCAGCGGAAUAUGUCAUGUAGCGGUGAAAUGCUUAGAUAUGACAUAGAACACCAAAUUACGAAGGCAGCUGGCUACACGAAUAUUGACACUGAUGCACGAAAGCGUGGGGAUCAAACAGG
rnacentral:rRNA from 1 species